rnacentral:rRNA from 1 species
CGGGUGAGUAACGCGUGGAUAACCUGCCUCACACUGGGGAUAACAGUUAGAAAUGACUGCUAAUACCGCAUGAGCGCACAGUACCGCAUGGUACGGUGUGAAAAACUCCGGUGGUGUGAGAUGGAUCCGCGUCUGAUUAGCCAGUUGGCGGGGUAACGGCCCACCAAAGCGACGAUCAGUAGCCGACCUGAGAGGGUGACCGGCCACAUUGGGACUGAGACACGGCCCAA